rnacentral:rRNA from 1 species
GACAGAGGGUGCAACGUUGUUCGGAAUUACUGGGCGUAAAGCGCGUGUAGGCGGCUAAGUAAGUCGGGCGUGAAAUCCCACGGCUCAACCGUGGAAGUGCACUCGAAACUGCAUAGCUAGAGUCCUGGAGAGGAAGGUGGAAUGCUUGGUGUAGAGGUGAAAUUCGUAGAUAUCAAGCGGAACACCGGUGGCGAAGGCGGCCUUCUGGACAGUGACUGGACGCUGAGACGGCGAAA